ACUAUUUGCCCAUCUUUCUAAGGAGGCGGAACUGGACAGAGCUCCUGGACCAGGCAAAAAGGAACAAAGUUUUUGCGCGUGGGCCUAGAGAACGGCUUCGUGGCUAAGAAGAGUAUACACCGCUCUUCUAGGGGACUUGAGGUUUAUUUCCAGCAACAGCAUCAAGCUUCUCCCUGCUGUCUGUAACUCCUUUCUGAAGCCUCUCAACUCACAGAUACAUGUACAAACCCACACAGGUCAUGAACACUAUUAAAAUU
rnacentral:lncRNA from 1 species